UCGCCUGUUUUAUCAAAAACAUCGCUGGAAAAAAUUUUCAGUCAGAUNUGCCCAGUGAAGUUUUAACGGCCGCAGUACCCUAACUGUGCUAAGGUAGCGUAAUCACUAGCCUUUUAAUUGAAGGCCCGUAUGAACGAUUCGACGAAAAACUCUCUGUCUCAGAGCAACACGCAACUUACUACGGAAGUAAAAAAGCUUCCUUCCAUUAAAAGGGCGACAAGACCCUACAAAACUUUACUCUUCACGGCUUCCCUCUCAGAGUUAAUUUCAAUUCCGGCACGAGUUUCGCUGGGGCGGUGAAACAUUAUACCAACAUCUUUCACCCUAACGUCAUUAACGAUUUUCACGAACUUAUUAACCCAAGCCCAAGUUACUUUAGGGAUAACAGCGCAAUGGGGUUUUAGAGACCACAUCGACAGCCCCGCUUACGACCUCGAUGUUGAAUUGAAAUCCCUCGGUAGAGCAAAAACUACUCAAGGAAGUCUGUUCGACUUUUAAACUUUUACAUGAUUUGAGUCCAAACCGGA
rnacentral:rRNA from 1 species